AAUUGAAGGAAAAACAAAAACAUUUUUAAUUAGGGCUAACUUGUCCCAGAGUGCCCAUGCUCACCAAAAUGCCAGCAGCCGUCCCGAGCUACGGCCACCCCCAUGUGCAGCCCCAGCGCUGGGGCCAGGCACGCGCCCACUGGGUCAGGGCAAAUGCAGCUGCCUGCAGAGCUGAGGCAGAAAGGCCUUACAGAAGCAACCAUUAUCCUAUAUACCGCUCAUUAACGAGUCAAGUAUUUUAAAUUAAUGCUUUGCCAGCUCAUUUGUUUUCAUGCGGGAAGAAAAUCUUCCAGGGCUGUAUUCACAUAAAUCACUUCUUUUGACAGGCUCCUGACACUACAGGGCUGAUGGUGGUGGGGAAGAAUCCCCUUCGGCUGCAGCAAGCUCUGGUCAGGGUUUGGGUUUUAUUUUUAGGUGCUCCAAGAUUAAAAAUCAGAGCCUAUCCAUCAUAAUAAGACUUUGUUCUGAGAGUACCUGCUGUGGACACAUCAGCGGCAGCAGCCGAGAUAAUAGUUGAGCAGGUGGUAAUUAUCAUGAUUAACUGCUGCUGCGUACCUUCAAAUUUCAGGCAAUUGCUGUGCUUUAGCACCCACCUUUAUUGGGGCUUCCCUGGGCUUUCAGUGUGAGCCUGUCUGCUUUAUGGGAUUUCGCAGGCUGUAAACUCUCUCUGGGCACUGGACUCUAUUAUUUGCAUAUAGCUGCUAAAUAAUGCCAGCAACAACAGUUAGGGAAAUUUGGCAUUUUCCAAGCUGUACCUGCAGUCGCAUUUUCCAGCAUUUCAGCCACUUGUUGCACAAUCAGAGAGAAAAUGAACCACAAGCGCUGAUCUUUCUCUCUCUUAACCUCAGGGCUCCCAGCUUCGCUCCUCCCUGCUUCUAAAUCACAGCUUAUUGCUAUUUUUACAAGAGAAGAUUAAUGGACUUAAAUGGGCACAGAUAUCUGAGUAUCUCACACGCUCGCAGACAAGUAUUUUGAUUGUUCAGCCCUGGUUUUACAUUUAAUAGCCCCGCUACCUUCUCCCAACAGCGCCCGCGCUCUGCUCCCACAUGUGGAACAGUUUACAUUGCCCUUUUGCACAGCGGUGGAAGAGAGUUGGGCUCAGAUUUUGCUGUGAGCAGCAGCUCAUCAGCUCUUUCUGAAGCCCAUCAGGAGCCCAUUCUCUCUAACACAGCUAUCUUACAACAGGAGACACCGAAAAAGGACGGGGAUUUGGCAGCGCUGCCUGAAAGUAGGAUUUUCACCUAUUCUGCAGUUAUUCUGCAGCCCCGUGGCACCAAACAUUCAUUAGCAACCAGUGCAAUUUUGGAGCAAGUUGUAUUUACACGUAGGGACAAGGACUCAUAAUCGUUGUCAUCUACAUAGUGUUGUUUUACAUAACAGCUGCAGUAGAGCAAGUGCACUUUGGUCAAUAGUUUCAUUUAUAAUAAAGUAAUAAAUUAGGAAUAUUUUUCCCUUGACAAUAAGUUUUAUGCCAAGAUUUUAUGUAGCUUAAAGCAAGUUGUCAAUUAGGCUACUUAAAUUAAUUUUUGGCAGCAGUUAAUUGGAGCCUAGAGUCUUUUGUCUUUAAACAGCUAAUCCUAAACAAGAAAAUACAAUGAUUAAAUGUUUCUUAAACAAUAUUA